GACGAAGGGGGCUAGCGUUGUUCGGAAUUACUGGGCGUAAAGCGCGUGUAGGCGGUUGCCCAAGUCGGGUGUGAAAGCCUUGAGCUCAACUCAAGAAAUGCACUCGGUACUGGGUGACUAGAGGACCGGAGAGGAUAGUGGAAUUCCCAGUGUAGUGGUGAAAUACGUAGAGAUUGGGAAGAACACCGGUGGCGAAGGCGGGUCUCUGGGCCGGAUACUGA
rnacentral:rRNA from 1 species